UCCCUGGUGGCUUAGAGGGUAAAGCGCCCACCUGCAUUGUGGGAGACCUGGGUUCAAUCCCCGAGUCGGGAA
rnacentral:tRNA from 1 species